UACGUAGGGGGCUAGCGUUGUCCGGAAUCAUUGGGCGUAAAGAGCGUGUAGGCUGCUCGGUAAGUCCGCUGUAAAAGUCAAAGGCUCAACCUUUGAAUGUCAGUGGAUACUGCCGGGCUAGAGUCCGGAAGAGGCGAGUGGAACUCCUGGUGUAGCGGUGGAAUGCGUAGAGAUCAGGAAGAACACCGGUGGCGAAAGCGCUCUGCUAGGCCGCAACUGACACUGAGGGACGAAAGCUAGGGGAGCGAAUGGG
rnacentral:rRNA from 1 species